CUUGAUGGGCCAGAUGGAUGGGCCCGUGGCUGGAUUGGUAAAGGGCAGAGAGCUCCAGUCCGACUCAGACGCCAGCAAGGUGGAGGUGGAGUACUGGUUUGGGCUGGUAUCAUCAAAGAUGAGCUUGUGGGGCCUUUUUGGGUUGAGGAUGGAGUCAAGCUCAACUCCCAGUCCUACUGCCAGUUCCUGGAAGACACCUUCUUUAAGCAGUGGUACAGGAAGAAG